ACCGACAGCAAUAUGAAGGCCAGGCUGAAGACUUGCCGGAUUAGCUGAGAGGUGGUGCAUGGCCGUCGUCAGUUCGUACUGUGAAGCAUCCUGUUAAGUCAGGCAACGAGCGAGACCCACGCCCACAGUUGCCAGCGUACUCUCUGGAGUGACGGGUACACUGUGGGGACCGCCGCUGCUAAAGCGGAGGAAGGAAUGGGCAACGGUAGGUCAGUAUGCCCCGAAUUAUCCGGGCUACACGCGGGCUACAAUGGUCAGGACAAUGGGUAUCGACACCGAGAGGUGGAGGCAAUCUCCUAAACCUGUCCUUAGUUCGGAUUGUGGGCUGCAACUCGCCCACAUGAAGCUGGAAUCCGUAGUAAUCGCGUUUCAAAAUAGCGCGGUGAAUAUGUCCCUGCUCCUU
rnacentral:rRNA from 1 species